AGCAGUAGCCACGGGAACACGGAGGGAGCUAGCGUUAUUCGGAAUUACUGGGCGUAAAGCGCACGUAGGCGGCUUUGUAAGUUAGAGGUGAAAGCCUGGAGCUCAACUCCAGAAUCGCCUUUAAGACUGCAUCGCUUGAAUCCAGGAGAGGUGAGUGGAAUUCCGAGCGUAGAGGUGAAAUUCGUAGAUAUUCGGAAGAACACCAGUGGCGAAGGCGGCUCACUGGACUGGUAUUGACGCUGAGGUGCGAAAGCGUGGGGAGCAAACAGGAUUAGAUACCCCAGUAGUCCCUGUCUCUUAUAC
rnacentral:rRNA from 1 species